GCGGAGCCCCGCGGUUCCCCGGCGGAAGGCGAGCGCCGUAGGUAGCCAACACCCUUGGCUGUGUGAAUUUUGGCUGAGAUGGUGAGGAGUGUUGCCACCCAAGUAUGAUUCCACCGCCAACUCCAUCGAUGUUUCACACUGAGAAUGGUGGGGCUAAAAUGAAUGGAAACAAAUAAAGCACAACACAGGAACAGUGAGGAAGUAGAUGAAACCUGGUCAUGAGGAUAUGAAUUAUUAUUGAACUCAGCAAAAGUAUAUGCAAAGCUUACUGCCUAAUCCUUCAAUCCAUAUGCAGUUGCUUCAGGGAAGGAAC
rnacentral:lncRNA from 1 species